rnacentral:tRNA from 1 species
UAGAGAAAGACAUAGUGGUUAUGAGGCUGGCUUGAAACCAGUUUAAGGGGGUUCGAUUCCUUCCUUUCUUGUU